UUACAGCCAUAUCACGUUGAAACACCGGUUUCCCGUACGAUCACCGAAGUUAAGCAACAGUGAGCCUGAUCAGUACCUAGAUGGGUGACUGCUUGGGAAUGCCCGGUGUUGUAAG